rnacentral:rRNA from 1 species
UACGUAGGGAGCAAGCGUUGUCCGGAAUCAUUGGGCGUAAAGGGCGCGUAGGCGGCCCGGUAAGUCAAAGGUGAAAUCCCUCGGCUCAACUGAGGAACUGCCUUUGAAACUGUCGGGCUUGAGGCCGGGAGGGGGUAGCGGAAUUCCCAGUGUAGCGGUGAAAUGCGUAGAUACUGGGAGGAACACCAGUGGCGAAGGCGGCUACCUGGACCGGUUCUGACGCUGAUGCGCGAAAGCGUGGGUAGCAAACAGG